GAAAUACUAUUUAAAGCUCCCAUUAAAUAGUUUGACAUCAAAAAAAUAAAAAAAUGCCUUUCAGAUUUGUAAUCUAUUCUUUCAGAAUAGUUAGACUGUAAAUUUAACAUGCAUGUUUAGCUGUCAACUUUUUAAAAGUUCACUAACAUAUUCAUAUUGACCUCAUAUGUCACAGGCUAAACAGACUAAACACCAGGGAAAAAAAAACAUAAUUUGAAUUCAUCUUAUAUCUAGAAUCCUAUGGCUUUGUACAUAUGUGGGAUCUGUCUAUACAGGAUGAUAAUUAUUGUGUGUGUUUGUGUGUGUGUGUGUGUGUGUGUGUGUGUGUGUGUGUGUGUGUGUGUGUGUGUGUUUGUGUGUGUGUGUGUGCGUGCGUGCGUGCGUGCGUGUGUGUGUGUGUGUGUGUAGAUCUUCUUUCGAUUCUCAUCAGAGCGAAUCAGCAGUCUCUCCAGGGACAGGGCUCAGUCUGAUCCCAGGCUCAGCUGGCCUCUCUGGGCUUCAUCUCUCAAGCAGGUGUCCUCAUGUGCCGGAGCCUGUUCUCAUCAGCCUCUCACAAACUAAAGGAUUCAGAAAAACCUGCAAGACCUCAGGGGAAGACUCAGGAAGCUCUGCCUGGGAGAGACAUUUUCACUGUGUAUUGGACAUUAAGUUUUCUGGAAACUUUGCAAGUCUGUGCAAUCAUAUGUCAAAGUGUUGUCACACAGUUGUUCAGACGAGGUGUCUCGGAGACACACAUUUGUUCCUGUCUGUGCCUUGAGGUGCAAUUAUGUGGUCUGUGGGCAUGUAAAAAACAUUUCUUCAAAAGCGCUAUGACACUGCUUCUGCUUUGGGUCAGUGCAUCAUGCCACAUGGGCCGCCCAAUGUACGCUCCAGACUCCACUGCACAGGAAAAUAUAGGUGAGUGAGUGGUGGGGACAGAAAAAAAUCAAGCAAGAGAGAGAGAGAGAGAGAUCAGUCCUAAUUAAAACAGACUUGUUAAAAACGAGGCUUUCAGAGGUGUUAUUUCGGUUAAUGAGCAGGAGGAGAGCUGCCCACAACUAAUGACCAAUGAUGCCCCUCUCCACACAACACAGGAAAACACUGACAUUUGCCUUCCUCUCUCAAACUUCAUCACUCACUAGAACAUCAGUCAGUCACUCACACACACAAUAUCUUGCUCGCUUUCUCACAAACACUCCCACAGUAAUGAUGAUAAAUGGUAGGGAAUAUUUACCUCACACCCACCAACUAAAGGUUCAAACCUCAGAAAGUUUAAAGAGAUGACUAGGUUUUUUUGUAUUUUUUUAUUAUUAUCUGAAGAAAAUGAAAAGUGAAGAAAAUUGAGUGGUGCUUACUUGUGCAAAACUCACCGCCAUGAUUUGAGUGUUGUGACUGGUUGCUAGAACAUUGCCAUGCAGUUGCUACAAUGUUUGGAAUGAUUGUUAGGCUGUUGCUAAGUGGUCAUAUACAGGUUUGAGGCAAAAGAGCCCAGCCCCAAAAUGUACAGUAUUUGUUCAGUUUCUUUGACAUUCUCUUUCAAUGUUGACAUUCUCUUUCAAUGUAUAUUCUAUCUAUCUAUCUAUCUAUCUAUCUAUCUAUCUAUCUAUCUAUCUAUCUAUCUAUCUAUCUAUCUAUCUUUUAAUUAUUUCUAUUUUUUAUUUUUUUAUUUUUUUAUUUUAUUUUUUAUUGUUGAAAAGUCUAAGUUUGGUCACUUUCAGUUGUUUGAGGUUUUAAUAUUUUACUGUAAAUGGCCAUUAUAAAAUUCCAUCUUGAAUUAAUAGUUCAUCCAAAAAUGACAAUUUGUUGAAAAUUUACUCACACUUAGGGCAUUCAAGAUGUUUGUUUCUUUAUUGGAAAAGAUUUGGGGACAUUUUACAUUGCAUCACUUGCUCACCAAUGGCUCCUCUGCAGUGAAUGGGUGCCAUCAGAAUGAGAGUUCAAACAGCUGAUAAAAACAUCACAAUAAGUCACAAAUAAUCCACACAAUCAGUUAAUUACUGUGAAGCUGUGUGUUUGUACUAAAGUUAACAAAUCCAACAAGACUGCUGUCAAAACAAAACUGACUGUUUCUGGCUAAAAUUUGAGUCAUUUAUCAAUAAUAUUGCUUUCUCUAGUUAAAAAUCCUUCUGAAUUAAGAGAAAAAAUAUGCACAGCUUAAUUAUUGUUUUGAAUCUAAAACAAGCCUUUUUUUUGCUACACAAGAUAUUAACUAAUGGACUGGUGUAAUGUGGAUUUUUUGUGGAUCAUGAUGCUUUUAUCAGCUGUUUGGACUCUUAUUCCGAUGGCACCCAUUCACUGCAGAGGAUCCAUUUGGCCAGCAAAUUAUGUAAUGUUAAAUUUCUCCAAAUCUGUUCAGAUGAAGACAAACUCUUCUACAUCUUGUAUGGCCUGAGUGUGAGUAAAUGUUCAGCAAAUUUUAAUUUAACUAACAAAAUUUAUUAUUAAAAUUUACCAUUUAGAGAAACAGAAACAUGAUCGAUGGUUAAUGACUAGUAAUUAAUGUGGCCUAUUUAAUCUAUUACCUUCUCAGUAACAUUGUUGAGUUCUGAAACAAAACAAAUAGUUAAUCAUUCAUUAUUUAAUUUAAUUUAGUUUGAAUAUAUUCGGGCUUUAGUCACAUGACUAAAUCAAUA
ensembl:lncRNA